rnacentral:misc_RNA from 1 species
GAUGAAGAACGCAGCGAAAUGCGGUAAGUAAUGUGAAUUGCAGAAUUCAGUGAAUCAUCGAAUCUUUGAACGCACCUUGCACCCUUUGGCAUUCUGAAGGGUAUGCUCGUUUGAGUGUCAUUGUACUCUCACACUCCCGAUCUUUGCAUUGGGAGCAGUGGACUUGGGUUUGCUGCUUCACCGUCGCUUACCUCAAAUAGGUUAGUGCAACUCUUGGUUGGACAUAGUACGGCGUGAUAAGUGUUCUUCGCCGGUGCCUCGCAAAGAGGGUGGCCGAUCGGGAUGUUGUGCUCCAAACCGUCUUCGGACAAUCUCUGACGACUUGACCUCAAAUCGAGUAAGACUACCCGCUGAACUUAAGCAUAUCAAUAAGCGGAGGA